CACCGGCGGCCCGAGUGGUGAUCGUUAUUAUUGGGUCUAAAGGGUCCGUAGCCGGUUUGGUCAGUCCUCCGGGAAAUCUGUCAGCUCAACUGAUAGGCUAUCGGGGGAUACUGCCAGACUUGGAACCGGGAGAGGUAAGAGGUACUACAGGGGUAGGAGUGAAAUCUUGUAAUCCCUGUGGGACCACCUGUGGCGAAGGCGUCUUACCAGAACGGGUUCGACGGUGAGGGACGAAAGCUGGGGGCACGAACCGGAUUAGAUACCCGGGUAGUCCCAGCCGUAAACGAUGCUCGCUAGGUGUCAUGCAUGGUGCGACCGUGUAUGGUGCCGUAGGGAAGCCGUGAAGCGAGCCACCUGGGAAGUACGGCCGCAAGGCUAGAAACUUAAAGGAAUUGGGCGGGGGAGCACAACAACGGGUGGAGCCUGCGGUUU
rnacentral:rRNA from 1 species